AAAAAAAAAAAAAAACCCGAUUGAAAUCGAUGAUUUGGGCCGAAUUGAACCGAAUCAAACCGGUUCGACCCGAACCAUCUAGAAAACUCUCUUUUUCUUUUAUCUUCAACGCCAAGCUCACUUUCCCCCUCCCCAGCUCACCUCCACUCCAUCGCCAUUGCCACCACAGCGCCACUGCCACCACCCCCUCUCCCUCUCCUUCUUCCUCUCCUUCUUCUUCUUCUUCUUCUUCUUCUUUUUCUUCUUUUUCCUUUUUCCCUUCCCUCUUUCCCUUCUUCCUCCUUUUUCUUUCUUUUUCUUUCCUUGUGCCUGCGUUCUUGGCGAGACAGAGGCAACGCAGCAGAGCCGCGCGCCACUGCCACUCCGCCACCGCCCCUACUACAGCUCGGCAACGCAGCUGCUCCGCCAGCAGCUCCUCGUCUCCUUGGCCAGAUCGCGUUGCUGCUCCUCUGUUGCGCCUACAGCAGCAGCACAGCUUUGUCAAGCCAACGCUGCCACUGCAGAUCGGGCCUCCGCCGGCGUCACAGCAGCUCUGCUGUCCCUCCAGCACGCCGAUCGGUCGUCUCCGCCUCCCUCCGCCACUGCCAGUCGAGUUCGACCACCGACAGUCACUGCUUCUAACCCGACAGGCAUCGCUCGGUUCAUCUAGUGCUCUUCCAGGACAGAAUCAAAGCUAGAACCUUGCUCUUCAUCACUGUACUAGGAAGCAGCUGAUUCAACUGAAGCUCUGCAAAUCUUCUCCGCAGAGUUACAAAUGUAAACUUUAUAUUGUUGAUAUUUAAUUUUGAAUGUAUAAAUUAUUCUGUUAUCAGAUUUUUUUUGGACUCCGCAGUUAUAGGGUUGUGUAUUUAAAUUGGGCCUUAUUGUUCACUACGCUAUAAAUUAAUUAUUGUGUAAUUAACUGUAGGUAAACUAGUAAGCCCUUAUUGUGAUUAUUUGUUAUUGUGAAUAGGCCCUGGUUAAAUUUUAUGUAUUAUUUGAUAUUGGGUCAGAUGUUUGAAAAUUUUAUAAAA